GGGAAGCCGGUCCGAAGCCGGCGCUGACCCGCAACCGUGGGCCGCCCCGACCGGGCGGCGAGCCGGAACACC
rnacentral:ncRNA from 2 species